rnacentral:lncRNA from 1 species
GUCACAGUGGAAACUGGAGAGUCCAGAAGAGAGUGGGCUCGGGAUGACCUAUUUUGUCAAGGAAAAAAAAAAAAAAAAAAAACUUAUCUAUGGCUGUCCAUAUGUCUCUGGGACCCCAAACCCAGGCGAGAGUCCUAUGGAAGUCUUAGGAACCUGAACAGGCCCGGUCAGGAGCACAGCCUGGGGGCUGGGGGACCCCCACUCACCCAGGGACUCUGGCCCCACCUUGAGGAAAAACCAGCUACCCUGAAGAUGGGCAGAUCUGUGAAGAUUCCUGAUGCCCAAGGCUCUACCAUAAAGGGAAAAAAGCUCACAGAGGCUGAGGCCAACCAGGGGCCAAGUCCUCACAAGAGCAUGAAAGUCCGAUUUUGAUUA